AGAGUUUGAUCCUGGCUCAGAUUGAACGCUGGCGGCAUGCUUUACACAUGCAAGUCGAACGGCAGCGCGGGGGCAACCCUGGCGGCGAGUGGCGAACGGGUGAGUAAUACAUCGGAACGUACCUGGUAGUGGGGGAUAGCUCGGCGAAAGCCGGAUUAAUACCGCAUACGCACCAUGGUGGAAAGCGGGGGAUCGCAAGACCUCGCGCUAUCGGAGCGGCCGAUGUCGGAUUAGCUUGUUGGUGGGGUAAUGGCCUACCAAGGCUACGAUCCGUAGCUGGUCUGAGAGGACGACCAGCCACACUGGGACUGAGACACGGCCCAGACUCCUACGGGAGGCAGCAGUGGGGAAUUUUGGACAAUGGGCGAAAGCCUGAUCCAGCAAUGCCGCGUGUGCGAAGAAGGCCUUCGGGUUGUAAAGCACUUUUGUCCGGAAAGAAAUCCGUCUGGCUAAUACCCGGAUGGGAUGACGGUACCCGGAAGAAUAAGCACCGGCUAACUACGUGCCAGCAGCCGCGGUAAUACGUAGGGUGCAAGCGUUAAUCGGAAUUACUGGGCGUAAAGCGU
rnacentral:rRNA from 1 species